UGGGGAAUAUUGCGCAAUGGGCGAAAGCCUGACGCAGCGACGCCGCGUGAGGGAUGAAGGUCUUCGGAUCGUAAACCUCUGUCAGAAGGGAAGAAUGGCACCCGUGCUAAUCAGCGGGUGAUUGACGGUACCUUCAAAGGAAGCACCGGCUAACUCCGUGCCAGCAGCCGCGGUAAUACGGAGGGUGCAAGCGUUAAUCGGAAUCACUGGGCGUAAAGCGCACGUAGGCUGUUUUGUAAGUCAGGGGUGAAAUCCCACGGCUCAACCGUGGAACUGCCUUUGAUACUGCUGAACUAGAAUUCGGGAGAGGGUGGCGGAAUUCCAGGUGUAGGAGUGAAAUCCGUAGAUAUCUGGAGGAACAUCAGUGGCGAAGGCGGCCACCUGGACCGAUAUUGACGCUGAGGUGCGAAAGCGUGGGGAGCAAACA
rnacentral:rRNA from 1 species